UACGUAGGGUGCGAGCGUUGUCCGGAAUUAUUGGGCGUAAAGAGCUCGUAGGCGGUCUGUCGCGUCUGCUGUGAAAUCCCGAGGCUCAACCUCGGGCCUGCAGUGGGUACGGGCAGACUAGAGUGCGGUAGGGGAGAUUGGAAUUCCUGGUGUAGCGGUGGAAUGCGCAGAUAUCAGGAGGAACACCGGUGGCGAAGGCGGUUCUCUGGGCCUGUACUGACGCUGAGGAGCGAAAGCGUGGGGAGCGAACAGG
rnacentral:rRNA from 1 species